rfam:Triticum aestivum genome assembly, contig: Triticum_aestivum_CS42_TGACv1_scaffold_642377_T_4DS-0.275128_5DS-0.161595
AUAAUACUCCCUCCGUCCCAAAUUUUUUGUCUUAGAUUUGUCUAGAUACGGAUGUACCUAAUACUAAAAAAGACUUGAUACAUCCGUAUUUAGACAAAUCUAAGACAAAAGAAUUUUGGGACGGAGGGAGUAUAAA